rnacentral:rRNA from 1 species
UACGGAGGGUGCAAGCGUUAAUCGGAAUUACUGGGCGUAAAGCGCACGCAGGUGGCUGAGAUAGUCGAUUGUGAAAGCCCUGGGCUUAACCUGGGAAUUGCAUUCGAUACUACUCGGCUAGAGUAUGAGAGAGGGCAGUGGAAUUCCCGGUGUAGCGGUGAAAUGCGUAGAUAUCGGGAGGAACGCCGGCGGCGAAAGCGGCUCUCUGGUCUGUUACUGACGCUGAGGCGCGAAAGCUAGGGGAGCAAACGGG